AGCCAGACUCCUACGGGAGGCAGCAGUGGGGAAUCUUGCGCAAUGGGCGGAAGCCUGACGCAGCGACGCCGCGUGCGGGACGAAGGCCUUCGGGUCGUAAACCGCUUUCAGCAGGGACGAGGCCCUCACGGUGACGGUACCUGCAGAAGAGGCCCCGGCUAACUACGUGCCAGCAGCCGCGGUAAUACGUAGGGGGCGAGCGUUAUCCGGAUUCAUUGGGCGUAAAGCGCGCGUAGGCGGCCGCCUAAGCGGGACCUCUAACCCCGGGGCUCAACCCCGGGCCGGGUCCCGGACUGGGCGGCUCGAGUGCGGUAGAGGAGAGCGGAAUUCCCGGUGUAGCGGUGGAAUGCGCAGAUAUCGGGAAGAACACCGAUGGCGAAGGCAGCUCUCUGGGCCGUCACUGACGCUGAGGCGCGAAAGCUGGGGGAGCGAACAGGAUUAGAUACCCGGGUA
rnacentral:rRNA from 1 species